UACGGAGGGAGCUAGCGUUGUUCGGAAUUACUGGGCGUAAAGCGCACGUAGGCGGCUUUGUAAGUUAGAGGUGAAAGCCCUGGGCUCAACUCCGGAAUUGCCUUUAAGACUGCAUCGCUUGAAUCCGGGAGAGGUGAGUGGAAUUCCGAGUGUAGAGGUGAAAUUCGUAGAUAUUCGGAAGAACACCAGUGGCGAAGGCGGCUCACUGGACCGGUAUUGACGCUGAGGUGCGAAAGCGUGGGGAGCAAACAGG
rnacentral:rRNA from 1 species